AUACGGAGGGAGCAAGCGUUAUUCGGAAUCACUGGGCGUAAAGGACGCGUAGGCGGGUUUGUAAGUCAGGUGUGAAAUCCUACAGCUCAACUGUAGAACUGCACUUGAAACUACAGACCUAGAGUAUGGAAGGGGCAGAUGGAAUUAGUGGUGUAGGGGUAAAAUCCGUAGAUAUCACUAGGAAUACCGAAAGCGAAGGCGAUCUGCUGGGACAUUACUGACGCUGAGGCGUGAAAGCGUGGGGAGCAAACGGAUUAGAAACCCUAGUAGUCC
rnacentral:rRNA from 1 species